rnacentral:hammerhead_ribozyme from 1 species
AUCCAGCUGAUGAAUCUCAAAUAGGAUGAAACCCGUGACCUGGAU